rnacentral:lncRNA from 1 species
UUUCUGAUUCUUAAAAUUUUUUGUAACGAAACAAUUCUGGUUUCUUGAAAAUGAGAGGAAAAUGUUUUUGAGAAUUUAGGGGAACACGUUUUUGUCCGUUUGAAGUUUGGAAAGAAUUACAUUUGGAUUCAUUGAUUUUGGAGGAAUCACGUUUGGUUUUGAAAGUAGAACGUUUCUGCUUUGUUUUAAAAUGGAACGUUUUCAAUAAUGCCAAAGGCAGAUCUUAUUCUUUUUGUAAUCCUUUUCAAGGC